AAAUUUCCACCUAAGCUCACCGGCCGCAGCAGAAUUCAGUCAACACACAGAUCUCGUAGAGGUAACAAGUAAAAAAUUCCAAAAUAAAUAAGCAUUCAAAUAUUUUCGGCCCAUUUUCGGUUAACUUUUUAUUUCUGUUCAAUUCAGUAUUUUGUUUUUGAGUUUUUAUUGUUUUGUUUUUGAGUUUUUAUUAGGCUUAAGCAUAAAGUGUCAAGUAUUGUGGAGCGCUAUAGAAUCAAAACCAUUUUCUAAAACGCUAUAAAAUCAAAACCAUUUUCUAAACACACAAAAUUAGAUUUAAGAAUACCAUUUAAAAAAAACACUUGAAAAAUACGAAAUCGCUGUAUGCUGCUGCAAAUUAUUUAAAUGGCAAAAGCUUACAAGUUGAAAAGGAACUUACACUCGAGUCACUCAAAAGGAAAAAGAAAAUAGGGUUGGUGUAACUAGCAAUUAACUAAAUAAAAACACGCCAAAAACUAUGAUGCACACAAGAAGACGAUGGACCUAAAUUCGCAGUUAAAAUGCAGACAAAAAUUCCCGGAAAAGCAAUGCUACUUAUCAAGUGCAAUGCCAUUGAUCAUCAAGGAAUAUGGAAGAAGCCUGACUCCAGCCGGAAACGGUUGUAAAUCGAAGAGCUGCUCCACCAAGCCAUUCCAUAUUCCAUUCGACCAUGUCUGCAAUUCCUAUUCGGCA